rnacentral:rRNA from 1 species
UAACCUGCCCUUAAGCGGGGGAUAACAUUUGGAAACAGAUGCUAAUACCGCAUAGAUCCAAGAACCGCAUGGUUCUUGGCUGAAAGAUGGCGUAAGCUAUCGCUUUUGGAUGGACCCGCGGCGUAUUAGCUAGUUGGUGAGGUAACGGCUCACCAAGGCGAUGAUACGUAGCCGAACUGAGAGGUUGAUCGGCCACAUUGGGACUGAGACACGGCCCAAACUCCUACGGGAGGCAGCAGUAGGGAAUCUUCCACAAUGGACGCAAGUCUGAUGGAGCAACGCCGCGUGAGUGAAGAAGGCUUUCGGGUCGUAAAACUCUGUUGUUGGAGAAGAAUGGUCGGCAGAGUAACUGUUGUCGGCGUGACGGUACCUAAUCAGAAAGCCACGGCUAACUACGUGCCAGCAGCCGCGGUAAUACAUAGGUGGCAAGCGUUAUCCGGAAUUAUUGGGCGUAAAGCGCGCGUAGGCGGUUUCUUAAGUCUGAUGUGAAAGCCCACGGCUCAACCGUGGAGGGUCAUUGGAAACUGGGGAACUUGAGUGCAGAAGAGGAGAGUGGAAUUCCACGUGUAGCGGUGAAAUGCGUAGAGAUGUGGAGGAACACCAGUGGCGAAGGCGACUCUCUGGUCUGUAACUGACGCUGAGGAGCGAAAGCGUGGGGAGCGAACAGGAUUAGAUACCCUGGUAGUCCACGCCGUAAACGAUGAGUGCUAAGUGUUUAGGGGGGUUUCCGCCCCCUUAGUGCUGCAGCUAACGCAUUAAGCACUCCGCCUGGGGGAGUACGGUCGCAAGACUGAAACUCAAAGGAAUUGACGGGGGCCCGCACAAGCGGUGGAGCAUGUGGUUUAAUUCGAUGCAACGCGAAGAACCUUACCUACUCUUGACAUCCAGCGAACUUAGCAGAGAUGCUUUGGUGCCUUCGGGAACGCUGAGACAGGUGCUGCAUGGCUGUCGUCAGCUCGUGUUGUGAAAUGUUGGGUUAAGUCCCGCAACGAGCGCAACCCUUAUCCUUUGUUGCCAGCGAUUCGGUCGGGAACUCAAAGGAGACUGCCGGUGAUAAACCGGAGGAAGGUGGGGAUGACGUCAAGUCAUCAUGGCCCUUACGAGUAGGGCUACACACGUGCUACAAUGGCGCAUACAAAGAGAAGCGACCUCGCGAGAGCAAGCGGACCUCACAAAGUGCGUCGUAGUCCGGAUCGGAGUCUGCAACUCGACUCCGUGAAGUCGGAAUCGCUAGUAAUCGCGGAUCAGCAUGCCGCGGUGAAUACGUUCCCGGGCCUUGUACACACCGCCCGUCACACCACGAGAGUUUGCAACACCCGAAGUCGGUGAGGUAACCUUUAUGGAGCCAGCCGCCGAAGGUGGGGCAGAUGAUUGGGGUGAAGUCGUAACAAGGU